AACAAUAGAGGAUGCUGUACGAAGGGAGGUUGCAGAAGAAACUGCUGUCAAGGUUGGGAAUGUUCAAUAUGUUUCCAGUCAACCCUGGCCAAUGCCUUCAUCUCUAAUGAUUGGUUGCCAAGCUGUUGCUGUAACAACUGAAAUCAUUGUGGAUGAAGAGGAGAUUGUAGAUGCCCGCUGGUUCAGUUGGCAGCAGAUUACUGAAACCCUGACACGUGAGAAUCAUCCAAUUAGCAUUCCACCACAGCAAACUAUCGCACAUAGACUAAUUAAAAAGUGGCUUAAAAAGAAUGCACACCUCUGAAUGCAUUUUUCUGAAGAACGGUCUAGACCCAAAACGUCAGCUUUUCUGCUCCUCUGAUGCUGCUUGGCUGCUGUGUUCAUCCAGCUCUACACCUUGUUAUCUCAGAUUCUCCAGCAUCGGCAUUUCCCACUAUCUCUGAAUGCACUGCUGUGCAUACAACAUCGUAUUGACCAGUUAAACCAGUGGAUUUGUCAAUCUUUGUGAGAAGACAGCAGUAAUCACAACAAAAAGAGCAUUAGGUGCAGUAACCUUCCACUUAUUACACUGCUGUAAAUUCUCAUAAACAAUUAUCUGGAAUAUUUGAUUAACUGGUCUCAUAGGUGCCAGUUAAUAAAAAAGUUUGCUGUACUUACUUUAUUCCAGAUAAUCAAUAGGUACACAUAACCGCAGUAAACCACAACCAAACAAAACUUUGAGACAUAAAUAUCCCUCAAAAAAUCCAUGUUAAAACAUCGACACACCUCCUAAAAUAAGUGUAAAAAUACACAGUAAGUAAUAGAAAUGUAAUGCAGUGGGUACAUAUGUCACUGGUAUAUUUGAUUUACAGCAUAAAUACUCUGACCUUGUGGUUUUUGAGGUGUAUAAUUUUUGCCAAUUUACCAAGAGUGCCAGUUGAUAUGGUGCUGGUUAAAACAAAGUUUGCUGUAUUACAUUUACACAUAAGCUAGUAACAUUAAUUUGAAGCAAUUUUGAUUUGUUUAUGGUACAUGGAUAUAUUUUCAAAAUAAUUCAAAUUGAUUUACUACUUCAAAUUAUAUGUGGAUGAUUUCCUCUGUUCUGAAGUCAGAGCAACUUCUCAAGCCUCACUCGAAGUAUAUGAUACUUUUCCCAGACAUCUGGACGUGUUUCUUUACAGUUUUCAGAGCCUUACACAUAUUCCAUUUUCAGAAUUGUUUUGCUUCAAAUACUGGACUAUAACAAAACAGUUUAAAGCCGCCAAUCUCUUACAAGUUAGAAACAUAGGCAAUAAAUUUAAUCUUACCCAUGCAGAGAAAAAUACAGUAAGAAAUCUGUUUGUACCAAUGAAACCUGUCAGGAGUAAUUUUCACUUGUUUCUCCAGGCAAAUAGCAGUUAAUUAACAUCAUAGGGAGAAAAGUCAGGAGAAGUGUGAAAAAGGACUGCUAAGUUGUUGUUCCUGAAGAUUCACCUGACAGCUGUAAUGAACAUAAUUUUGUACUUUAUGGAGUAGAAGCUGAUUCUUUGAAAUCAUCGCAAAAACAAAUAUCCUCUUCAUGGUGCAUGGCUAGAAAUGCCACAUGGAUAAUACAUCCCAGUCUUUUCAUGAGAUCUUCAGACUCCAGCCAAUUUAGUUUACUCCAUAUUAUUGUCAAGAAACAGCUGAGGGAUGAGGUAGAGCAAAGGCAAUGUGCAUAACAUCAUACUGAUUUUAAUGCUGAAGACCUGUCCUCUAGAACUAGCUGUACACCUAGCCAAGCUGUUCCAGUGCAGCCACAAUACUGGCUUCUACCUGAGAAAAUGGAAGAUUGAACAGGAGUUCCCUUCUGGAAAAAGCAUGAUAAAUCCAAUCUAAUCAGUUACCACCUUCCCACUAAUCACAGUGGUCGCUGAGUUAAUAGAAGAUGUCACUAGUGCUGCUUGAUAAGACUAUUAGUUUUCAAAUAACCUGUUCCCUGAUACUCAACAAUGAAACUGCAUUUUCAAAGAAGUUCUUGAAUUCCCACAUUGAUAUUUUUUCAUUGUUACUAUUUUCUUUAUACAAUUGUUGACUGUCCUAAAAAAAAUCAUUAAUCUGUCUUUGAUCAAUGCCUCAAUGUUAAUUAGCUGUAUAUUUCUUAAUAACACAUUUAAAUUACAAUUCUUUAUGACAUUCUUUUAAUAUUUUAUAAAUCUUAUUCAGUAACAUAAAAUAACUUUUAAAUCUCUGAUAAAAACUGAAAGAUAUAAAUUAUAAUUGGUCAAAAUUGAUUACUAGUUAGAAUGUUCUGUCCAUUAUCAUCUCCAUGCAGAUAUACCCAUGGUAAAAUGAAAAAUGAAUACUUGCUUUUAACCAGUUGUAACAGGCUAGAGUUAACAGAAUCAGGUGAUCUUGCUCCUUUUUUUGCAAGUCGACAUGAAACUGCUCAAGACUUGAAGUAGCCAGAUUGUCUGGUCAGAACAUGAAAAGGUAAACAACCUUUGGAAUAUUCAUUUGAGAAGAGGUUAAAAAGUAACAGGAUUACAUUUACGGACUUAACAGCUGUUGUCCUGUCAGUGUUUAGAAAAAACUGUUGCACAUUUACCACUGGCUUGUUGGCUCCAGAAUGGGUGUGACGAAAAAUCACAAGGCCAAAAUUAAAUCUCAUUGUGUGUCAACACUGAUGUUGUCAGGGGCCACUUGUGUGAAUAAUAAGAACAUGAAAUACUGUGGCCAGCUAACAGAAAGCAGCUUGUGAUGAAAAACAUUUAUUAACUCUUGAGAGAAGCCUCAGGUCAGUCAGUCUGAAAAAAUAAAGAAACUAAAGAGGGUAGAGAUCUCACAAAACAAAGGCAGAUUCCCACCUAGAAACUACUAACAGGCAGGAUGCUUUGACCUUUAACUUGAAGAACUUAAAUAAAGGAGCUCUUCAACAACUUCGGCGGGAGCAAAGCCAGAAAGAUACUAUUUCAAGGAGUAAACCACUAUGAAUUUAUCACCAGGAAAUUCCAACCUCCAUUUUCUUGGUGAUAUCAGACCACAAUGUUUUUAGCUUCUAUUCCACAACACAAGAGUAAUAGAGACUUCUUGGACAUUUCUAAAAGUGUAAGUGCAUGCUACCUCUUUUGUAACCACCUCUUACACCAUGUGUGUGUCUAAGUAAAUGGAUGUUACCCCUAUUGCAUUUGGGUGUUGAGAAAUAAAUAUUCAUCUUUUCAACCCUA